AGGGGCAUCCAGUGGUCCCCAGGCUACCCCGCCCCCUCCGUGCCCUUGGACCAGCCCACAGUCACCAACCACACACCCAGGCGGACUUUCCGGCCCCCAAACCCCUGAGCAAAGCGCCUUGGAUGCUGCCUCCGGCCGCAGACGCAGGUGACGUAAAACCAGGAGUCUCCCUCUUCCUCCUCAAAUCCUGUCGCCUCAGACCCCGUGGAAACCUCUGACCAGACGCGGCCCUCACACGCCUGCUCUUGAGAGGUCCAGCGCCCCUGCUGGGGGCCUCCAUUUCUUCCGCUGAAGGAUGAAGCAGUGGGGUGAGAUCGCUUCUAAGGGCCCAGGAGGAGAGGGUCGCCGUCUGAGCCCAGAGCUGGGCGAGCCUCCAGCAGCGGCCCACUGGGCCUGCCCUGUCCCUGGUUCUGUCCUGGGAGCAGCAGGAAGCUGUGGCUCCGCGGAAGUAAAAGAUGAAACAAAGCCCAUCAGGAGCUGGCCCUCCGGGGAAGGCGGCCACCCUCGCACUCCUGAAGGCUCUCCUCACAAUCGCAGCCCUGCUGGAAAUCGGCUCAUCUUCCACAGGCUCCGUUCUCUUUCCCUCCCCACAGAGCACCUCCCGUCAAGAGCUUAGCAUCUUCUGCCCAUCCCCACCUGCUACCCUUCCUUUCUAGCAAUGAGCCACCCUCACGUUUUUAUUCUGUUUAAAAGAAUCCCAAAACGCACCAAAUUGCACCCGAUCCUGUGCCCGCUCUGCAUGCCUCGGUUUCUGCCUCCACCACCCUCCAAGAAUUUCUCUGUUCCCCUGGCCUCACUGCCCUAUUCAAGGCCAACAAAAACUAGGUGCAGAAAAAAAUCAAUCAAACCCCGAAAUGCAGGACACGGAGAAAGGAGAACCUCAGGAUCCAGGUCCAACCCCUGGCUCAGCACAGGAAUCCUGUCUGUCAUAACCCUGCCCCAGCCUCUGCUUGAAUCCCCCCGUGGACGGGAAGCUCAUACCGCCCAACUGCUGGACAAUUCCUUCUAUUACUGGGCAGCUCUAACAGAAAGUCCCACCUACUUCCCUGUGACUUCUACAGACAAGUCUGUCCCCUUGAGUCACAGUGAAUGAAACCUUUCUUCUGCACAUUAUCCAUCAGAAAAGAGCCCAUGGGUCCCCCAUCUUCUCUUCUCCAGAAGCCUCUUAAACUACCUGCAUAGCUAGGUUCCUGCAAUACUAAGAAAACAGAACCGCAUUUGAAUUAGAAUGAGGCCACGGCCACAGUUACUCUGGCUACAAUGCCAAUGAAAAUGUGUUUUAUUUUGCUUUAAUAGUUUUAAAAAUAAUACCUUGACUAUUUUAAUAUCAGUCAUCUUGAAAAGCAGUGUGAUACUACUCCCCUUCCUGGCUUAAUAAAAAAGUUGCAUAGUUCACAAUUUUAUACCUAUUAAAUAAACAAAGAUUGAAAAUAGUGGUGCUACCCAGUAGGGGACCCCCCUGAACUCUCUCGUAUGGCUGGUGGCAAUAUAAAUUAACACCAGCCUCUCAGGAAACAACCUGUCAGCCUGUUGUUUCGAGCGCCAUAAAAACAUUCAUACCCUUCGACCCAAUAAUCCCAGUCCUGGGAGUUUAUCCUAAGAAACUAGUUUUUAAAAAAGGAAGGAAGGGGGGAAGGUUACAUGCAUUAAGGUAUUUAUUCAAGAGCUAUUGAAGAGUCAGCAGAAGGAGACUCAGGAAAGUCUGAUUUCAUCCAGCGCGCACCAUGCAGCCAUAAUCAGUGAAAGCUCUGAAGACCAGUCUGCAACUUGAGAAUCUCCUCAAGAUAAGAUGGUGGAGACUGCACCCACUGUGUCCUGUGGCAUGUCCUCGGGAACACAGGGCAGGACAGCCAUGCCAUGCUCUGCGUCCUCUAGCCGUCUGUUCAGAUGCUACAGGCAGGGGUCUGCAGAGGGACAGCACAUGGCGUGCGCAUGCAGAACCCAUGCAAGAGGACGGGAAGAGGGCGGCAGCCACCCUCGGGGCAUGCACCCCGCCUCAGAGAGGGCCAGGCAGCAGAUGGGAUCACCGGCAUUCCCGCUCUGGGACAAGCAGUACCCAAGGUGAUCGUGGCGUAAACGACUCCUUCAGGCACCUGUGCCCAUCUGGGGACUCCACUGGGGGGAAAUUUGCCAGAAUGAUCUGUGUGGGAUCCAGAAGAACAGACAAAGGCAAGAGGAAGAGAGAGAAGAUGAAGAGAGCGGCAGUCCCAGAUGCAGAGACACAAAGAGAUGUGGCGACGCGGCUGCCCUCCCACCAGAAGUUAGUGCGUUCCCAUCGGAGAUGUGGGCUUGUCAGGUGUACCCCAGCCUGGCCAAGGACGUCAUUUCCCAGCCCCUUCCCAUCCAGAGAUGUGACUUCCUGCCACCAAUGGAAUGUGGAUAGAAGCACUAGGUGUCACUCUGCCUGGUGCCUUUAAGGAGCACAUAGAGGUUCUCCGCCCUUUCUUUGUGGUGGAUUCUGUGGCCUCAGAAGGUGACCGAGCCCACGCUGGACGGAGCCUGCUGACCAGUAAGGCCCAGCUGAACUACUCCGUGAGUGAGGAUCAGAUUUGCACUGGGUUACUCUAAGCUGCAAGAGGGGUUGUUUGUUACAGCAGCUGCCGUUACUGAUGUCUACUGUCUCUAGCAGGAGACACCAGCAAUGCAGGAGCUCUACCUAAUAGCUCCUGCACAGGCCGGCAGGGCACUUACUAAACUUGUUCAGAGAGAGGACCUGACCCAGGGAAGCAGUGAGCGGACUGCUGAUAAAGCAGGCCAAGAGGCCAAGCAACUGGUCUUUUUCAGGAAGUCAGCAAAAUCGCUGUUGGCCAGAGAAGUAGAGCAAGGGGCGGGAGUCCGAUGGUCAUUUCUGCUGUUGUGACCUGUGCAUCCCACUGGUCAAACAGGUGUGGGGGACAGCAGGCAGGAAUCAGGGGCAGGCCAGCUUAUGAUGCAGGGGAGGCCCCCUCUUCGUGGUAAGUAUGACCAGCUCCCCACAAGUCAUCCUCCGUCCUCGAGCCGGCAGGGGACAAAAGGCACCUGGGCUUCUCCCCACCCUCCUUGCUGACCUUGUGAUGACCCCCUGGUUCUGGAUAAAACCAAUAUGAACUCCCAGUCGAGAGACAAACACCGGGAUCCUUCUGACUGCCUGUUUGUGUCGAGAUGAAGUGUCUGCCCCACCAACAGGCCCCCGGGAGCGUCUGGGAGGCAGGCCCCGGCUGGCACAGGCCACACCCGAGAGAGAUGGGCUUCAGACACAUGGAGGUGCUCCCGGGGGUGAGUCACUGCUCCCACCUUCCAGACGCACCCAGACAGCCCCACCGCGCUCUCAGCUCCAGUCUGAAAUCACAGUCCAGCCGGUGACUUGGCAACACCUCACAAGCUAAGUGAUGUCUGUCCACAAAGCCAGCCUCUUAGAAUAAAAUUCCUUCGGGCCAAAGAAGCCCUCACCUCCCACACAGUUCCCGGGACCACAGACAGUAGGUAAAGUGUGAAGAAAGAGGACAAGAAUCCCAUGUGGCUCCAAGUGACUGGUCCCAUCUCAUCCCAGGGCCAGUUCUUUGUGACACCAACAAGGUCCCCCCCUUCGGCCAAGUUCAUUCCCACCACCAGGGAUCCUUACCACUGACAUCUGCAAGUUGCUUUAUGCUUUCAAAGACCUUUCACUUACAAAGGAAGGAAAGAGAAGGAGGUAAGAAAGGGAGAGUGAGGGGACCAGAGUCCGGCUACCUGGGAGAAUGGGGUCACAACCAUCUCUUUCUUCCAGAACCUUCAAGGCCUUUCUGUGUUAUAGAAUCCCCACAACGGGAGCAUUUCUAUUUCUGAUCCAACCUCAUCAGGCUGAGAACCACUGGCCGAGGACAGAUGGCUCCAGCGUGAGCCCUGCCCCCAUAGCAAAGGCCAUCUACCUAAGUUAGGUCAGCCACAAACAACCCUCCCCUCCAAAGGCUGGAGAAAAGUCUAUUCAGAGAAAAGCCGAAGUCGUUACCAAGGCCUACAGCUGAUUUCUGUGUCCCCAUCUCCCAUCUCUCUCCCCCAACCCCACCUGCUCCUGCCACAAUGGCCUCCAAACAUGCCAAGGGCUCUCCUGCCUCAGGGCCUUUGCACGUACUGUGCUCUCUGUUUAGAAAGUUCUUCCUGCAGUUAUCAGCCCCACCCAGUUCCCACUUCAUUUGGGAAUCUGCUCAAGGUCAUGCUAUCAGAGAGGCCCUCCCUAAUCUAAAAUAAAAUCCUUCUCCUGCCCCAACCCAGCCCCUGCAGCUUUCCAUCCUGACCUGACACAUCCUAUGUUUAUUUGCUGUCUGUCUUCCCUCUCAGAAUCUAAGUGCCGUGACCACUGAACCCCACUGAAUCCUGCGUGCUGCUGAGCUCCUGAUUCCUAGAAGCAUGCUGGGUACAUGGUGGGAGCCCAGUGACUAUUAGUCCAGCGAAAGAACCUGGGAACUGGGCUCUGGCUCAGCCUGACCACAUUUCCAUUGCUUACGGGGCCUUGUGCCUCUCGGCCAACACACCUCUUCUUUGUCACAUUUCUGUGCUGAAUCAAGCAACAUCCAGGCAGGACCACAGAAAGCAUCAGACACAGUAAACCAGCUCCUUGUGGACCACCCCAAGCCCCUCCUUGCAGGUGGGUUGGGUCUGCUGUAGGUCUCAGCUCCCCAGCAGACCAGAGGCCAAAUGCCCUGUGGCCAGUUCUCAAUUCGGGCCAUGCUCUCUAGUAAGAGCCACCCAGGCUGCCCUGUGUUUCUAGCCAGGGUAAGUGUGCCGGUCCCAACCAGGGGAGUUGGCACUGGCAUCCGUGCAGGAAGUGAUUGGACCCCCUCCAAGCCCCGUCCCCAGGAUGUACCAUUGAGGGAUGUGUCAUAUGGUUCAGCCUCUUCAUAGUAACCCUCUGGAGACUCGAUCUUUGGGGUGGAGAGCUGUUUCCGUUCUGGAAUCUGUGGUAUGAACAAAUAAAACAAACAUUUUCAGAUACGAUA